rnacentral:rRNA from 1 species
AACGUACGCUGGCGGCACGCCUUAUACAUGCAAGUCGAACGAAGUAGCAAUACUUAGUGGCAGACGGGUGAGUAACAUGUAGGUAUCUACCCUUUGGUGAGGAAUAACACGAGGAAACUUGUGCUAAUACCUCAUAAGUCUUUACGGAGAAAGCUUUAUGCGCCGAAGGAUGAGCCUGCACUUGAUUAGUUUGUUGGUGGGGUAAUGGCCUACCAAGACUUUGAUCUAUAGCUGAUCUGAGAGGAUGAUCAGCCACAUUGGGACUGAGACACGGCCCAAACUCCUACGGGAGGCAGCAGUAGGGAAUAUUGCACAAUGGAGGAAACUCUGAUGCAGCGAUGCCGCGUGAGUGAAGAAGGCCUUUGGGUUGUAAAGCUCUUUCGUCGGGGAAGAAAAUGAC